UGCAGCUUGCAGACAAGUACCUCAGUGAGGCUGCACUGGGUGAAGCCAACGACGACGCCAUGAAGACCGGGUCCUUCUACGCCAAGGCCACUUGAUUCUAGUAAUUAAGAAUGCCGUCACUAUAUAUGCAUGUUUGGAAAAUUCCGUACCUUUUUUGAUUCAUCGCCGCACAGGUAAACGAUUUGAAUUGUAAGUUUCUGAAUACAAAGAAAUGGAAUUGUAUAUGUGAAUUACUUGUUGGAACAUUAUCAUAUAUCUGGAAAUCCUCUGAGGCUUUCUUGAUUAGGUACCGUGGGGGUCAUAUAAUUGGACAGAGAUUGUGAUGCAAACGGCUGGAUUAUUGUUUCAAGAAGAAAGAUCAAUGGUCUAUACUAAACCCAAAAAUCAAUUAAUGAGACUUCCAGGGAAAUUGAUCUUGGCAGCUCAUACAUCAAAGCAUUGCAGAAAUGACAUGCUUAGCUGUUUUUUCUCAAAAAAGUACAGACAUGGCUACCUUAAUUUUAUCUUUUCCAUACUGAUGUUUUACCAAAGAUGCAAUGUAUGGAUGUCAUGCAAGUUCUUUUAUUUUUGCGGUAAUAAUGCGAAGUAUGAAGCACAAACGUACAACACCCAUGUGCCUUGAUGUCAACAGGGGCCGACUUAACUUGUGUGGUACCAAUUGACAGCCCUAGCUUGAUGGUUAUCAACAAACCAGCAAAUAUAAGCCAGCAACAUAUUUUGUGGUACUCGAACUAGGAUCCAAUCUCGGGUGCCUCAUCCAACAAGCAACAUAAGAGUUCAUUUUUGUGUGGUUAUGGAAUAGAAGACCCCAGCUUUCGGCUAGCUGAUGAUCAACAAGACACACUAUCUAUACACCGUGAGUCCGGGUGAAAAGAAACAAAAAUGAAAGGCAAGGAAAGAAGAAAGGAUUCUGAUCAGAGAAUGGCUAGAUCCUGUGGCUGUGGAAUGUUAUAGGAUUCGAGCCAGGAGAUAUCAUAUAGCUGAGCUGCAAGCUGCAGCGUUUGGUCUUCACAGUCCAAGUCAUCCAAACCAGCGGGGGCCAAGAUGCACCCGGCCAGAACCCAAUCUCCAGUGUGUGGCCUGUGGGGGAUCAAGAAGCUGAUCCACAAGCACGGGUGUGUGUGUGCCACCUCCCAGCAGCCUCCCACAGCAACAAGAUGGAUAUCCACGUGUAUUUAAGGCAUCUCAUACCUCUGCCUCUAUACUUUGAGCAGCAGCAGCCAUUACUUGAUCAUCUGAAAAAUCUUAAUCCAGAUCAGACCAAGCAGAGCAGAGAUGUCUGCUACCUUCUCGUCCACCGUCGGAGCUCCGGUGCGUACCACACAUCGAUUCAUCGGUCCACAGCUAUCUUUUCUUAAUGGUAUCAUGUCUUCAAUGGCGUCUUGUGUUGUGUCUACAGGCUUCUACGCCAACCAGCUUCCUUGGGAAGAAGCUCAAGAAGCAGGUGACCUCGGCCGUGAACUACCAUGGCAAGAGCACCAAGGCCAACAGAUUCACAGUCAUGGCCAAGGAGGUGGACGAGUCAAAGCAGACUGACCAGGACAGGUGGAAGGGCCUCGCCUACGAUAUCUCCGACGACCAGCAGGACAUCACCAGGGGGAAGGGUAUCGUCGACUCGCUCUUCCAGGCGCCCAUGGGCGACGGUACCCACGUGGCCGUCCUCAGCUCCCAAGAGUACAUCAGCCAGGGCCUAAGGAAGUACGACUUCGACAACACCAUGGGAGGCUUCUACAUCGCCCCAGCCUUCAUGGACAAGCUCGUCGUCCACCUCUCCAAGAACUUCAUGACCCUGCCCAACAUCAAGGUACGCAGCCAGCACAUGAUCAAUUCAUGACUAUUUAAUUUAAUUUAUUAGCAGUAAUACAAUUGAACAAAGCUGUUUGUGAAGCUUUACUGUAAUUUGGGUGCUAACGAAUCGAAAAUUCAGGUGCCACUCAUCUUGGGUAUCUGGGGAGGCAAGGGUCAAGGAAAAUCCUUCCAAUGUGAGCUUGUCUUCGCCAAGAUGGGCAUCAAGUAAGAACUGUUUGAAGUUACUUUCAUCUAUUGUUAAUUGCCAGCAACACAAAUAUCAUGUCUGCACCCGAAUUAAGCAAGUAGUAACAGAUGAUGAUGUGUGCUUGCUACAGCCCAAUCAUGAUGAGUGCCGGAGAGCUGGAGAGCGGAAACGCCGGAGAGCCAGCCAAGCUGAUCAGGCAGCGGUACCGUGAGGCCGCAGACUUGAUCAAGAAGGGUAAGAUGUGCUGCCUCUUCAUCAACGAUCUCGACGCUGGUGCGGGUCGGAUGGGCGGGACCACCCAGUACACUGUCAACAACCAGAUGGUUAACGCCACCCUGAUGAACAUCGCGGAUGCCCCCACCAACGUGCAGCUCCCUGGGAUGUACAACAAGGAGGAAAACCCCCGUGUGCCCAUCAUCGUCACUGGUAACGAUUUCUCCACGCUCUACGCGCCACUCAUCCGUGACGGUCGUAUGGAGAAGUUCUACUGGGCCCCCACCCGCGAAGACCGUAUCGGUGUAUGCAGGGGUAUCUUCCAAACUGACAACAUCAGCGACGAGUCCGUCAUCAAGAUCGUAGACACCUUCCCAGGCCAAUCCAUCGGUACGUUCCCUGCACUCCACCGAUAAUAGUAUGCAUACAUCAAUGCAAGAGUAGUAAUUAACAAAGGAAAUGCUGAUCCCAAAACAGACUUUUUCGGAGCGCUGCGUGCCCGGGUGUACGACGAUGAGGUGCGCAAGUGGGUCAGCUCAACCGGAAUAGAGAACAUCGGCAAGAAGCUGGUGAACUCGAAGGAUGGACCGGUGUCCUUUGAGCAGCCAAAGAUGACAAUCGAGAAGCUCCUGGAGUACGGCCACAUGCUCGUCCAAGAGCAGGACAAUGUCAAGCGUGUGCAGCUUGCUGACAAGUACAUGAGCGAGGCUGCUCUGGGAGAUGCUAACUCAGAUGCCAUGAAGACUGGUUCCUUCUACGGUUAGAACACUCUUCAUACACACACCAUCUCUAGCUGCAUAGGAGGAGGUGAACUACAAUCUUUUUUUUUCUAUUUUCAGUAUCUACUUUACAUAUACUUCAAACUUGUGUACUUCCAAAAUAAAAGGGAGUGAAUUAUAAGCGACAGCGAGAAAUUAUUCUUACCUGUUCUUCUGGCACAUCAAGCUGAUCUUCUCAUUGCAUUGUGCAAAACAACUAAAUUUCAGGUAAAGGAGCACAACAAGGUAAUUUGCCCGUCCCAGAAGGUUGCACUGACCGGAAUGCCGAGAAC
rnacentral:lncRNA from 1 species